AUUGAACGCUGGCGGCAGGCUUAACACAUGCAAGUCGAGCGAGCGGCGGACGGGUGAGUAAUGUCUGGGAAACUGCCUGAUGGAGGGGGAUAACUACUGGAAACGGUAGCUAAUACCGCAUACCAUCAGAUGUGCCCAGAGGGGAUUAGCUAGUGGGUGGGGUAAUGGCUCACCAAGGCGACAAUCCCUAGCUGGUCGGAGAGGGUGACCGGCCACACUGGAACUGAGACACGGCCCAGACUCCUACGGGAGGCAGCAGUGGGGAAUAUUGCACAAUGGGCGCAAGCCUGAUACAGCCAUGCCGCGUGUGUGAAGAAGGCCUUCGGGUUGUAAAGCACUUUCAGCGGGGAGGCGUUACUCGCAGAAGAAGCACCGGCUAACUCCGUGCCAGCAGCCGCGGUAAUUC
rnacentral:rRNA from 1 species